rnacentral:rRNA from 1 species
CCUACGGGAGGCAGCAGUGGGGAAUAUUGGACAAUGGGGGGAACCCUGAUCCAGCCAUGCCGCGUGUGUGAAGAAGGCCCUCGGGUUGUAAAGCACUUUCAGUGAGGAAGAACGCCUGGUGGUUAAUACCCAUCAGGAAAGACAUCACUCACAGAAGAAGCACCGGCUAACUCCGUGCCAGCAGCCGCGGUAAUACGGAGGGUGCGAGCGUUAAUCGGAAUUACUGGGCGUAAAGCGCGCGUAGGUGGCUUGAUAUGCCGGUUGUGAAAGCCCCGGGCUCAACCUGGGAACGGCAUCCGGAACUGUCAAGCUAGAGUGCAGGAGAGGAAGGUAGAAUUCCCGGUGUAGCGGUGAAAUGCGUAGAGAUCGGGAGGAAUACCAGUGGCGAAGGCGGCCUUCUGGACUGACACUGACACUGAGGUGCGAAAGCGUGGGUAGCAAACAGGAUUAGAUACCCCGGUAGUC